rnacentral:rRNA from 1 species
UACGUAGGUGGCAAGCGUUGUCCGGAUUUACUGGGCGUAAAGCGCGCGUAGGCGGCCCUGCAAGUCGGGGGUGAAAGCCCGAGGCUCAACCUCGGAACUGCCUUCGAUACUGCGGGUCUCGAGUCCGGGAGAGGUGAGUGGAAUUCCUAGUGUAGAGGUGAAAUUCGUAGAUAUUAGGAAGAACACCAGUGGCGAAGGCGGCUCACUGGCCCGGUACUGACGCUGAGGAGCGAAAGUGUGGGGAGCGAACAGG